UACGUAGGGCGCAAGCGUUAUCCGGAAUUAUUGGGCGUAAAGAGCUCGUAGGCGGUUUGUCGCGUCUGCCGUGAAAGUCCGGGGCUCAACUCCGGAUCUGCGGUGGGUACGGGCAGACUAGAGUGACUGUAGGGGAGACUGGAAUUCCUGGUGUAGCGGUGAAAUGCGCAGAUAUCAGGAGGAACACCGAUGGCGAAGGCAGGUCUCUGGGCUGUAACUGACGCUGAGGAGCGAAAGCAUGGGGAGCGAACAGG
rnacentral:rRNA from 1 species